CCCUACUCCCUGUAUAGGUCUGUGGGACAGGGGAGGGUGGGAUGGGCUGUUCCACAUGCUACUCUCUACCCCCCUACUCCCUGUAUAGGUCUGUGGGACAGGGGAGGGUGGGAUGGGCUGUUCCACAUGCUACUCUCUACCCCCCCUACUCCCUGUAUAGGUCUGUGGGACAGGGGAGGGUGGGAUGGGCUGUUCCACAUGCUACUCUCUACCCCCCCCUACUCCCUGUAUAGGUCUGUGGGACAGGGGAGGGUGGGAUGGGCUGUUCCACAUGCUACUCUCUACCCCCCCCUACUCCCUGUAUAGGUCUGUGGGACAGGGGAGGGUGGGAUGGGCUGUUCCACAUGUCAUUGCUUUCAACCUGAUGAUUCUAGUUUUUAUUUGUACCUUUUUUUUAAAUUAUAAUUUCCAUUAAAACUCUCUUGUUUUAAAUAAUGCCGUCUCUCUCUGUGUGUGUGUGUGUGUGUGUGUGUGUGUGUGUGUGUGUGUGUGUGUGUCACGGGGGUGGGAUCUGAACCGGUGUCUCCCAUUGGAGAAACAAACGUCUUGACCGUUUAGACCAGGAAGACAGUUUGAAUUCUGCUGCCUCAUCUGACCGCGAACCAGAC
rnacentral:lncRNA from 1 species